rnacentral:rRNA from 1 species
GAGUAGGGCGGGACACGUGGUAUCCUGUCUGAAUAUGGGGGGACCAUCCUCCAAGGCUAAAUACUCCUGACUGACCGAUAGUGAACCAGUACCGUGAGGGAAAGGCGAAAAGAACCCCGGCGAGGGGAGUGAAAAAGAACCUGAAACCGUGUACGUACAAGCAGUGGGAGCACCUUCGGGUGUGACUGCGUACCUUUUGUAUAAUGGGUCAGCGACUUAUAUUCUGUAGCAAGGUUAACCGUAUAGGGGAGCCGCAGGGAAACCGAGUCUUAACUGGGCGUUAAGUUGCAGGGUAUAGACCCGAAACCCGGUGAUCUAGCCAUGGGCAGGUUGAAGGUUGGGUAACACUAACUGGAGGACCGAACCGACUAAUGUUGAAAAAUUAGCGGAUGACUUGUGGCUGGGGGUGAAAGGCCAAUCAAACCGGGAGAUAGCUGGUUCUCCCCGAAAGCUAUUUAGGUAGCGCCUCGUGAACUCAUCUUCGGGGGUAGAGCACUGUUUCGGCUAGGGGGUCAUCCCGACUUACCAACCCGAUGCAAACUACGAAUACCGAAGAAUGUUAUCACGGGAGACACACGGCGGGUGCUAACGUCCGUCGUGAAGAGGGAAACAACCCAGACCGCCAGCUAAGGUCCCAAAGUCAUGGUUAAGUGGGAAACGAUGUGGGAAGGCACAGACAGCCAGGAUGUUGGCUUAGAAGCAGCCAUCAUUUAAAGAAAGCGUAAUAGCUCACUGGUCGAGUCGGCCUGCGCGGAAGAUGUAACGGGGCUAAACCAUGCACCGAAGCUGCGGCAGCGACACUAUGUGUUGUUGGGUAGGGGAGCGUUCUGUAAGCCUGCGAAGGUGUGCUGUGAGGCAUGCUGGAGGUAUCAGAAGUGCGAAUGCUGACAUAAGUAACGAUAAAGCGGGUGAAAAGCCCGCUCGCCGGAAGACCAAGGGUUCCUGUCCAACGUUAAUCGGGGCAGGGUGAGUCGACCCCUAAGGCGAGGCCGAAAGGCGUAGUCGAUGGGAAACAGGUUAAUAUUCCUGUACUUGGUGUUACUGCGAAGGGGGGACGGAGAAGGCUAUGUUAGCCGGGCGACGGUUGUCCCGGUUUAAGCAUGUAGGCUGGUU